UGAGGAAUAUUGGUCAAUGGGCGAGAGCCUGAACCAGCCAAGUCGCGUGAGGGAGUACUGCCCUAUGGGUUGUAAACCUCUUUUUGUCGGGGAGCAAAAGCCGGACGUGUCCGUCUGUGAGAGUACCCGAAGAAAAAGCAUCGGCUAACUCCGUGCC
rnacentral:rRNA from 1 species